rnacentral:rRNA from 1 species
ACUGAAAUCAUUUGAGUGUCACAAGUGAUGUCGUAAGGGAAAAUAAUGAUAUUACCUUACUAUUNNUGUCGNCCAAAGCUGGUGCCAGAAGACUCGGUAAGACCAGAGACGCANACGUUAAUCAUCUUAAUCAGGCGUAAAGGGUUUGUAGGCAGCUUUAAAAAACUAAAUUAUAAUGGCUAAAGUAAAUUUAGUGAAAAUUAAAGCUAGAAUCUAAUAGAGGUUAUAUUGAAUAAUACUUAGAGUAGGGGUUAAAUCCUUAGAUACUAAGGGGAAUUCUUAGGGCGAAAGCAUUUUUCCACUAAAGAUUGACGCUGAGAAACGAAGGUGAGGAUAGGAAAUAGGAUAUUAAAUUGCGACCUGAAAAGCUUAUUUAAGUAUAGCGGAAUUAAUCCGUCAUAAUAAUCCAUCUUAUUUGAGUCCACUUAAUAGACUAGCCUGGUAACUAGCUAGGACUAAAGCUUAAGAUUAUUUAUAAUAUUUAUAAUAUUAGAAUAAAUAGGAACUGCUUCUAAGGUAGAGAAAUCGAAUCUAUGUAACUAAAGGUUUAUUAAUAGG